CAGUAGCCGCGGUAAUACGAAGGGGGCUAGCGUUGUUCGGAUUUACUGGGCGUAAAGGGCGCGUAGGCGGGCGAAUAAGUCAGGGGUGAAAUCCCAAGGCUCAACCUUGGAACUGCCUUUGAUACUGUUUGUCUUGAGUUCGAGAGAGGUAAGUGGAACUGCGAGUGUAGAGGUGAAAUUCGUAGAUAUUCGCAAGAACACCAGUGGCGAAGGCGGCUUACUGGCUCGAAACUGACGCUGAGGCGCGAAAGCGUGGGGAGCAAACAGGAUUAGAUACCCCUGUAGUCCCUGUCUCUUAUAC
rnacentral:rRNA from 1 species